AGAACGAACGCUGGCGGCAGGCUUAACACAUGCAAGUCGAACGCUCCGCAAGGAGAGUGGCAGACGGGUGAGUAACGCGUGGGUAUCUACCCAUCUCUACGGAAUAGCUCCGGGAAACUGGAAUUAAUACCGUAUACGUCCUUAGGGAGAAAGAUUUAUCGGAGAUGGAUGAGCCCGCGUUGGAUUAGCUAGUUGGUGGGGUAAAGGCCUACCAAGGCGACGAUCCAUAGCUGGUCUGAGAGGAUGACCAGCCACAUUGGGACUGAGACACGGCCCAAACUCCUACGGGAGGCAGCAGUGGGGAAUAUUGGACAAUGGGCGCAAGCCUGAUCCAGCCAUGCCGCGUGAGUGAUGAAGGCCCUAGGGUUGUAAACCUCUUUCAGCAGGGGAGAAGCCUUUCGGGGUGACGGUACCUGCAGAAGAAGCACCGGCUAACUACGCGCCAGCAGCCGC
rnacentral:rRNA from 1 species